rnacentral:tRNA from 1 species
GUGUAGAUAGCUCAAUGGUUAAAGCAUCACUCAUGAAGACUGAGGUUGUGGGUUCAAGUCCCACAGUACACA